rnacentral:rRNA from 1 species
UACGUAGGGACCAAGCGUUGUUCGGAUUUACUGGGCGUAAAGGGCGCGUAGGCAGCGUGACAAGUCACUUGUGAAAUCUCCGGGCUUAACUCGGAACGGUCAAGUGAUACUGUUGUGCUAGAGUACAGAAGGGGCAAUCGGAAUUCUUGGUGUAGCGGUGAAAUGCGUAGAUAUCAAGAGGAACACCAGAGGCGAAGGCGGAUUGCUGGGCUGAUACUGACGCUGAGGCGCGAAAGCUAGGGUAGCAAACGGG